UGUUUCUUUUACUUCCGCAGGAGAAGUGGGAUUACUGGUCAAAGAGAAUGUGCAUUUAUCAUUGUGAGAUCUCGUAGUAGACUCGCUAGAGAGCUGGUGAUUACUUUCUGAGACUUCUUAAAGAUUUAUUCAUUUGUACUUAUUUUCUGUUGUUAAAAAUUAGCUCAAUCUCUGUUGCCGUGAAAUCUAAACUAAGUUAUUAUGUGGAUAACUAUUUCUAAUUUCAGUUUGUUGAAGUGAAAUGAGUAUAUUGUUUGUCUUUUCAUGCACUGUUGUUUUGUAAUAGUUUCUUUUUUGAGUCUUUUGUUAUUCUUGAGUUUUAAAAUUACCAAUAAGCCCAUCAAUAGGUGGCAUUUCCUGAUGACAGAUUUAUAUUCACAAUAGUUUUUCCCCUCUUUUCCUCAGGUCAUUGUACCAUCUACACACCUUUUUUUCCUUCAAAUACUUUCUUGUGAGAUUGACUAUGAAGCACUUAACAGUAAGUUCCCAGCAGAAGCAUGUAAUUUGACUUCAGUAAAAAUUUGUAUUUUAAAGGGAAUACUUAUAACUAGAAACUAUCUAAUGUUUCAAAUGCUUCCUCCUGACAUCACUGUGAAAAUAAAACUCAAACUUAAAAAUUUGUAAGACUAUGAUGAUGUAUUUUACCCAAGAAUAAUUUCUAUUUGAGUAGCAACACUGCCACCAAGGCAACCCAUACAAAGCAAAUGGAAAACUUGAACAGUUUUUUUGCCUUCUCGUUUCUUUCUUUCCUUCCAGUUUUUCUUUAGUCUAUUUACCUACAGGUGCAGCUGCUUAAGGAGAGGAGAAAGCCCCUGCCGGAUGCCGGAAAAAGUCCAGACCUGUGCAAAACCAGUGCAGACCAGAAAAGAUUCUCAUCACUUGACAAAGAGAGAGGAAAUAUCAAGAGAAGAAGAACUUGGAAAUAAUUCAGAGCAGUGUCAAAUUGCAGUGUAAUAGCGCAGCAUGGAAACAUCUCUGAUGCCAUGGCUGCCCCAGUAUGCUCACAGAGACCUAAGAAGUCCUUCCUCCAAGCCUAAGAAUGGAAUGAUAAAGUGCUGACCAGGACCAUUGGUACAAUGUCUAAUGGAAGCACUGAGAGAAAACAUUUGCCUUUUUUCCUAUCUCAGAGGGAACUCUUCAUCAAUAUGGACAAUCAACCAAGACACAUUGUUCCAAAGAAGAAAUAAGCUAAACCAUCCUCUUACCAAGGCCAGAGAUUGACUGUUCU